rnacentral:piRNA from 1 species
UGGUAAUGGAAGUCAUGCUACCAACAGACAA